CCUGUCUGCCCCUGCCCAUGAGUGUGUCUGCACUUAUAUCUGCUCCCCAUCCCCUCCCCACCUCGGCAGCUGUGUACACAUGGCUUUCAGAGUCCGAUUCGAGCCCCGUCGCAUUUCCAGACUCUCCUGUACUUUGCUUCAUAUUAUCUGUUCUCCAUUCUAAGCCCCCUCAUCCCCAUAACUUUCACUGUAUAUGUGUCAUUCUUCUUCUGGCCAUGCGACCCUGCCUUCGUGUCAUUAUGCCCCCAGAUCAUGAGUCCCCUCAACAGUAACUGUGUCUGGUAUAUCAUUUUAUUUUGUCAGUAUCUGCAUAGUACUGGUGCACAGGUAUUAAGUUCUGUGGAAUUGAAUGAGAUGUAGGAACUUGAUAAUGUGACAAAACAAUGUCUGUAAUACGUUUUCUUUAUUAUUCUUUUAAAGAGUCUCAGGUCAUCUGUCAGUUAAGGAAUUCGGGCAGUAGAUGAACGAAUGUGUAAACAAGAGGACAUAAGGAAGAAAAAGAUGUGUGUGUUGAGGCUUAUACAAGUUAUUUGAUCAGUUGAAAAGACUGAAAAAAUCUUAAAUUCACAAAGUUCUAAAGAAACCUCUGCACUAGAAGCAAGCAGCCCGUAGCACUCGUGCUUCUGCCCCCGUUCGUCCACACUUAGCAGACAGUCUGUACGCGGCCCUUCUGCAGCCUGUGUGUCUCCCGCGGCUCUGCUUCGCUGCGGCCCUUGGCAGCGCCUGCAGCCCCUCCAGCCAUGUCCACGUUCGGCCCCUGGGGAGCUGGCCCUCCAGUGUUCUUCCCGUCUUUGCUGUUGCUGCUGUGCUCCUCGGAUAGAAACACCUCGGUGAGCUCUGUGUCUACAAUCCUGUCCCUUUGCAACACUGUCCUUGAUAAACAGACAUUGUGCGCUUUCUUGCUCAGAAUUACCUUGGAGGACUUUUUUCUCCAGAAGAGCAGCUCUGAGCUCUAGAGUCAGGAAAGCCAGAGCAGCGUCAGCGCACGGUAAAUCCAUCAUGCUCUGCCAGGCCCAGAAAUGCUGAGAUAAGGAUAAAUAGGAAAUGCGCAUGGGAUCAAUCAGUAGAGGUUGGGAUUAGGCUUCGGCGUUGGUCGUGCCGAGCGCUUGCCUUCCCUCCACACCAGUUCUGAUGCUCUGGGACGGGGCACACCGUGGCAGGUCUCCAGACAUUUUGGGUUUCCUUACAGUGUGUUUCCUCACUACCUGACUGCCCAUCCUCAGAUGUGGGAUGCCUCAUAGAGCCCAGCAGGGGCUUUGGAGCCUUUGUUGUGUUUUGUUUUGUUUUGUUUUUUUUCUUUCACUGUUCAGCUUCUUUUUGAAUGGGGUUGACGCUUUCUAAUGUGGGGGGCAAGAGGGAAGUGUAUCCAGUCCACUUGAUGGCAGAUGCACUGUGAGUGAUUUCUCACCAGCUCCCGGAGCACCGAGCUUGCUCUUUCUGCCCUUGGGUAAAUGUAAACUUGGAGUCCGCUGCUCUGAGCGAUUUCCCAGGUUGCUGCUAGGUGGUCAGUUUUAGCUGAUUGAGGAGACAGCAGUAGUUAGUACUGGGGAGGUACUUGGGAGGGAGAAUGAGGCAGGCAGAGAAGAAGAGGGGGAUGCGGGUAUGAACGGUAGGACAGGGAAAGAGAGAGGAGGGGGUUAGAGAAUGGGAAAAGAAGGGAGAAGAAGGGCACGAAUGGGAGAGCCCGAGGAACGUGGUGGAAACAUGCAGUUGUACCCACACUGACCUAAAAUAGCUCCAUCCCCUUGCCUGGGCCC